GGCAUUGUUUACUUUGUGUGGCAUUAAUUAUGAACUUUUUAAUUAAUAUAAGAAUAUAUUAAUAUGUAGCUCACGUCUGAUUAAAUAAUUGAUGAGGCAAUAGCUUAUCAAGGUGAUGAUCAAUAGCUGAUUCGAAAGGAUAAUCAAUAAGAUUGGAACUGAGACAUAGUCCAAACUCCUACGGGAGGUAGUAGUGGAUUUUUUUUAUAAUAGGCGAAAGCCUAAUGAAGCAAUGUUGCGUGGAGAUAGAAGGUCAUCGGACCAUGGAUCGCGUGGACCCAUUUUUCCAUAGAAGAAGCAAUAACAAUAUCUGGAAAAGAAACAUUAUUUAACUCUAUGUCAAUAACUAUAGUAAUAUAGAAGAUGCA
rnacentral:ncRNA from 1 species